GAAAUGCGAUAAUUAAUGUGAAUUGCAGAAUUCAGUGAAUCAUCGAGUCUUUGAACGCACAUUGCGCCCCCUGGUAUUCCGGGGGCAUGCCUGUCCGAGUGUCAUUGCUGCCCUCAAGCACGGCUUGUGUGUUGGGCUUCCGUCCCUGGCAACGGGGACGGGCCCAAAAGGCAGUGGCGGCACCAUGUCUGGUCCUCGAGCGUAUGGGGCUUUGUCACCCGCUCCCGUAGGUCCAGCUGGCAGCUAGCCUCGCAACCAAUCUUUUUAACCAGGUUGACCUCGGAUCAGGUAGGGAUACCCGCUGAACUUAAGC
rnacentral:misc_RNA from 1 species